UACAGAGGGGGCGAGCGUUGUUCGGAAUUACUGGGCGUAAAGGGCGCGUAGGCGGCCAACUAAGUCAGACGUGAAAUCCCCGGGCUCAACCUGGGAACUGCGUUUGAAACUACAGGGCUAGAGUAUGGGAGAGGGAGGUAGAAUUCCACGUGUAGCAGUGAAAUGCGUAGAGAUGUGGAGGAAUACCAAUGGCGAAGGCAGCCUCCUGGCCUAAUACUGACGCUCAUGCACGAAAGCGUGGGGAGCAAACAGG
rnacentral:rRNA from 1 species